AGAGUUUGAUCCUGGCUCAGGAUAAACGCUGGCGGCGUGCCUAACACAUGCAAGUCGAACGCCCUUGGGCUCGCAAGAGCACGAGGGAGUGGCGGACGGGUGAGUAACACAUGGGUGACCUACCCUCUGGUGAGGAAUACCGGCGAGAAAUCGCCGACAAGACCGCAUAGGGGCUGCUGGCUGGAGCCAGCAGCGCAAAG
rnacentral:rRNA from 1 species